AAUAUAAAGAACAUGAUGUUGGUUCAGAUUAAAUGCUAUAUAAGUACAUUACACAUGCAAAUUAUACGUUUUAUAUAUAUAAUAUAUAAAAUAUGUAGUGCAAACGUGAGUAAAAAAUAUGAAUAUAAGAACUAUAAAUAAAGUUAAAUACUUUAUAAAUAUAUAUAUAUAUAUUAAUAUAUAAAUAUAUAUAAAAAUAAUAUUAUAUAAAAUAAUAUUUGUUUAUAGUCUAUCAUAUAAUGGUUUAGGUAGUAGGUAUUAUAAAGGUUAUACCUAGCCAACGAUCCAUAAUCAUUAAUUAAAGUUAUAAUGAUCACGUUGAUUCUGAAAUAUAAUCAAUAUCUAUAUGAUACAGCAGUGGGGAAUAUUGGACAAUGGUAUAAAUACUGAUCCAGUAACUUAUAAGAAUGAUAUAUAAUAAUAAUAAUAUAUAUAAUAUAUAAUAUAUAAUAUAUAUAUAAAUUGAUUAAAAAUAAAGUUCAUAAAUAAUAAAAAUAAUGAUAUUAAUUAUCUUAUUAAAUAAUAAGAAAAUAUAUAUUUAUAUAUAUUUUUUUAAUAAUCCUGGCCUAUAUUUGUGCCAGCAGUCGCGGUAAUACAAAGAGGGUAAGCAUUAAUCAUAAUGGUUUAAAGGAUCCGUAGAAUUAAUAUUAUUAUAUAUAUAUAUAUAAUAAAUUAGAGUUAAUAAAUUUAAUUAAAGAAUUAUAAUAGUAAAGAUGAAAUAAUUAUAAUAAUUAUAAGACUGAUAUAUGUGAAAAUAUUAAUUAAAUAUUAACUGACAUUGAGGGAUGAAAACUAAAGUAGCAAAACAGAUUCGAUACCUGUGUAGUUUUAGUAGUAAACUAUGAAUACUAUUAUUUAUAUAUAAUAUAUAAAUAAUAAACGAAAGUGUAAGUAUUCCACCUGAAGAGUACGUUAAUGAAACUCAAAACAAUAGACGGUUAUAGUCAACAACAGUGGAGCAUGUUAUUUAAUUCGAUAAUCCACGACUAACCUUACCAUAUUUUGAAUAUUUAUAUAUAUUAUUAAUAUAUAUAAUUACAGGCGUUACAUUGUUGUCUUUAAUUCAUGCUGUAAAGUUUAAGAUUAAGUUCAUAAAUGAAUAAAACUCCAUAUAUAUAAAAAUUAUCUUAUAUAUAAUAUUAUAUUAUUAAUUAAUAUAAUGAAAGGAAUUAAGACAAAUCAUAAUGACCCUUAUAAUAUGGGCUAUAGACGUGCUAUAAUAAAAUAAUAAAUAAAGUUAAAUAAUAUAUUAAUAAAUAAUAUAUAAUAAAUAACAUAAAAUAUUUUAAUAUUUAAUAUAUUUUUAUAUUAUAUAUAAUAUGAAUUAUUAACUGUAAUUUGUUAAUAUGAAAUAAGAAUUGUUAGUAAUACGUAAAUUAGUAUGUUACGGUGAAUAUUAUUACUGUUUCGCACUAAUCACUCAUCACGCGUUGAAAUAUAUUAUUAUCUAAAUAUAUUAUAUAAUAUAUAAUAUUUUAUUAAUAUUUAUAUUAAAUAUAUAUAAGAAAUAAUAUUAAUUAAUGCGAAGUUGAAAUACAGUUACUGUAGGGGAACCUGCAGUGGGCUUAUAAUAUAC
rnacentral:ncRNA from 1 species